rnacentral:rRNA from 1 species
GACGAACGCUGGCGGCGUGCCUAAUACAUGCAAGUCGAGCGAAUCUUUUGGGAGAUUGCUCCCGAAAGAUUAGCGGCGGACGGGUGAGUAACACGUGGGCAACCUGCCUAUAAGACUGGGAUAACUUCGGGAAACCGGAGCUAAUACCGGAUAAGUUCUUUUCUCGCAUGAGAGAAGAUGGAAAGACGGUCUAGGCUGUCACUUAUAGCUGGGCCGGGGGCGCAUUAGCUAGUUGGUGGGGUAAAGGCUCACCAAGGCGACGAUGCGUAGCCGACCUGAGAGUGUGAUCGGCCACACUGGGACUGAGACACGGCCCAGACUCCUACGGGAGGCAGCAGUAGGGAAUCUUCCGCAAUGGGCGAAAGGCUGACGGAGCAACGCCGCGUGAACGAAGAAGGCCUUCGGGUCGUAAAGUUCUGUUGUUAGGGAAGAACAAGUACCAGAGUAACUGCUGGUACCUUGACGGUACCUAACCAGAAAGCCACGGCUAACUACGUGCCAGCCGCCGCCGUAAAAC